rnacentral:rRNA from 1 species
AUACGUAGGGGGCGAGCGUUGUCCGGAAUUAUUGGGCGUAAAGGGUACGUAGGCGGUUUUUUAAGUCUGGUGUGAAAUUGGUGGGCUCAACCCACCCAAGCAUUGGAAACUGGAAAACUUGAGUCAUGGAGAGGAAAGUGGAAUUCCUAGUGUAGCGGUGAAAUGCGUAGAUAUUAGGAGGAAUACCGGUGGCGAAGGCGACUUUCUGGACAUGUACUGACGCUGAGGUACGAAAGCGUGGGGAGCAAACAGGAUUAGAUACCCUGGUAGUCCACGCCGUAAACGAUGAGUGCUAGGUGUUGGGGGUCAAACCUCGGUGCCGCAGUUAACACAUUAAGCACUCCGCCUGGGGAGUACGUGCGCAAGCAUGAA